rnacentral:rRNA from 1 species
GAUGAACGCUAGCUACAGGCUUAACACAUGCAAGUCGAGGGGUAACAAGAGGAAAGCUUGCUUUCCUUGUUGACGACCGGCGCACGGGUGAGUAACGCGUAUCCAACCUGCCUAUAACUAGGGAAUAACCUUGCGAAAGUAAGACUAAUACCCUAUGAUUUCCUUUGAUGACAUCAGAUUAGGAAUAAAGAUUUAUCGGUUAUAGAUGGGGAUGCGUCUGAUUAGCUUGUUGGCGGGGUAACGGCCCACCAAGGCAACGAUCAGUAGGGGUUCUGAAAGGAAGGUCCCCCACAUUGGAACUGACGCACGGUCCAAACUCCUACGGGAGGCAGCAGGGAGGAAUAUUGGUCAAUGGGCGGAAGCCUGAACCAGCCAAGUAGCGUGCAGGAUGACGGCCCUAUGUGUUGUAAACUGCUUUUAUACAGGAAUAAAGUUAGCCACGUGUGGUUAUUUGUAGGUACUGUAUGAAUAAGGACCGGCUAAUUCCGUGCCAGCCGCCGCGGUAA